rnacentral:lncRNA from 1 species
CCGGAUAGUGCAUCCCGGCCACGGCGCGCCUGCUCUGGGCUCUCCGCGUGCCGCGUCGCUUUCUUUUCUUCCUCUGGAGCAGUUAUGGCGGCGGCGAAGACCCUGAACCCCAAGGCCAAGGUGGCCGGAGCGCAGGCGGCGCUGGCGUUCAACAUUAGCGGGGCGCGGGGUCUGCAGGACGUGCUGAGGACCAACCUGGGGCCCAAAGGGACCAUAAAGAUGGCCUUCAUCCCAGAAUAAUCACUGAAGGAUUUGAAGCUGUGAAGGAAAAGCCCUUCAUUUUUUGGAAGAAGUCAAAGUAAGCAGAGAGAUGGACAAGGAAACACUUAAAGAUGUGGCCAGGGCAUCUCUUUGUACUAAAGUUCAUGCUGAACUUGCAGAUGUCUUAACAGAGGCUGUAGUGGGCUCCAUUUUGGCCAUUAAAAGAAAAGAUGAACCUAUUGAUCUCUUCAUGAUUUUGUGAUCAUUGACAAGAAACAUAAAUCUGAAACUGAUACAAGGCUGACUCUUGCUUGUGGUGGGGUGGCCCUGAAUUCUUUUGAGGACCUAAGUCCUGACUGCUUGAGACAUGCAGGACUUGUAUAUGAGUAUACAUUGGGAGAAGUUCACCUUUAUUGAGAAGUGUAACAACCCUCGUUCUGUCACAUUAUUGAUCAAAGGACCAAAUAAGCCCACACUUAGAUCAAAGAUGCAGUAAGGGAUGGCUUGAGGGCUGUCAAAAAUGCUAUUGAUGAUGGCUGUGUGGUUCCGGUGCUGGUGCCGUGGAAGUGGCAAUGGCAGAAGCCCUGAAUAAAUAUAAGCUCAGUGUAAAGGGCAAGGCACAGCUUGGAGUCCAAGCAUUUGCUGAUGUGUUGCUCGUUAUUCCCAAGGUGAGCCCGUGGUAGCAGCAGAAGCAGGCAUUAUGGGAUAACGAUUGUGUAAAGAAACAGCUUCUUCAUUCCUGCACUGGUUGCCACCAACAUUCUCUUGGUUGAUGAGAUCAUGCGAGCUGGAAUCUUCUCUGAAAGGUUGAAUUGAAGCUUCCUCUGUAUCUGAGUCUUGAAGACUCUGCAAAGUGAUCCUGAAGAAUACAGCUGUGGAAUUUUUGUCCAAGCUUCAAAUGAGUUUCAAGGGAAUUUUCCCAUGUGAAAAAAGGAGAGAACACUGGCAUCUGUUGAAAUUCGGAAGUUCUGAAAUUAUAAUCACAGUAUUUUUUAAAAAUUGCACUGAAGUGUACACAGAUAAAGCAGGUCUUUCACCCAGUGAACAGGAUGUUUUGCUUUAGCAGCAGUGACAUAAAAUUCCAUGUUAAAUAAGCAUAUAUUACCUACCUUAUUAAAUAUUCCUUGAAAAAGCA